rnacentral:rRNA from 1 species
AUUGAACGCUGGCGGCAGGCUUAACACAUGCAAGUCGAGCGGAGAUGAGGUACUUGCACCUUAUCUUAGCGGCGGACGGGUGAGUAACGCUUAGGAAUCUGCCUAUUAGUGGGGGACAACAUUCCGAAAGGAAUGCUAAUACCGCAUACGUCCUACGGGAGAAAGCAGGGGAUCUUCGGACCUUGCGCUAAUAGAUGAGCCUAAGUCGGAUUAGCUAGUUGGUGGGGUAAAGGCCUACCAAGGCGACGAUCUGUAGCGGGUCUGAGAGGAUGAUCCGCCACACUGGGACUGAGACACGGCCCAGACUCCUACGGGAGGCAGCAGUGGGGAAUAUUGGACAAUGGGGGGAACCCUGAUCCAGCCAUGCCGCGUGUGUGAAGAAGGCCUUAUGGUUGUAAAGCACUUUAAGCGAGGAGGAGGCUACUGAGACUAAUACUCUUGGAUAGUGGACGUUACUCGCAGAAUAAGCACCGGCUAACUCUGUGCCAGCCGCCGCGGUAA